rnacentral:lncRNA from 1 species
GUUCUAUGGGGUUCUAGAAGGUUCUAUGGGAUUUUUAUGGGAUUUUAUGGGAUCUUAUGGGGUCUUAUGGGGUUUUAUGGGGUCUUAUGGGAUUCUAUGGUGUCUUAUGGGGUCUUAUGGGGCUCUAUGGGGUUUUAUGGGAUCCUAUGGGGUUUUAUGGGGUCUUAUGGGGUUCUAUGGGGUUCUGUUGGCUUCUAUGGGGUUCUAGAAGCUUCCAUGGGGUUUUAUGGGGUUUUUUAUGGGGUCUUAUGGGGUUUUAUGGGGUUCUAUGGGGUUCUAUGGGGUUCUAGAAGCUUCUAUGGGGUUUUUAUGGGGUCUUAUGGGGUUUUAUGGGAUUCUAUGGGGUUUUAUGCGGUUUUAUGGGGUUUUAUGGGGUUUUAUGGGGUCCUAUGGGAUCCUAUAGGGUUUUAUGGGGUUCUAUUGGAUUCUAUGGGGUUUUAUGGGGUCUUAUGGGGUCUUAUGGGGUUCUAUGGGGUAUUAUGGGGUUCUAGAAGCUUCUAUGGGGUUUUUAUAGGGUUUUAUGGGAUCCUAUGGGGUUGUAUGGGGUCUUAUGGGGUUUUAUGGGGUUUUUUGGGUUUUUAUGGGAUUUUAUGGGGUUCUAUGGGGUUCUAUGGGUUCUAUGGGGUUCUAGAAGGUUCUAUGGGGUUUUUAUGGGGUUUUAUGGGGUCUUAUGGGAUCCUAUGGGGUCUUAUGGNNNNNNNNNNNNNNNNNNNNNNAUUCUAUGGGGUUUUAUGGGGUUUUAUGGGAUUCUAUGGGGUUUUAUGGGGUCUUAUGGGGUUCUAUGGGGUUCUAUUGGAUUCUAUGGGGUUCUAUGGGGUUCCAGAAGCUUCUAUGGGGUUUUAUGGGGUUUUUUAUGGGGUCUUAUGGGGUUUUAUGGGGUUUUAUGGGAUUCUAUGGGGUUUUAUGGGAUCCUAUGGGGUCCUAUGGGAUUGUAUGGGGUUUUAUGGGGUCUUAUGGGAUCCUAUGGGGUCCUAUGGGGUUUUAUGGGGUUUUAUGCGGUCUUUUGGGGUUCUAUGGGAUCCUAUGG